GCGACGCCCCGUGAGGGAUGACGGCCUUCGGGUUGUAAACCUCUUUCACAGGGAAGAAGCGAAAGUGACGGUACCUGCAGAAAAAGCGCCGGCUAACUACGUGCCAGCAGCCGCGGUAAUACGUAGGGCGCGAGCGUUGUCCGGAAUUAUUGGGCGUAAAGAGCUCGUAGGCGGCUUGUCGCGUCGGUUGUGAAAGCCCGGGGCUUAACCCCGGGUCUGCAGUCGAUACGGGCAGGCUAGAGUUCGGUAGGGGAGAUCGGAAUUCCUGGUGUAGCGGUGAAAUGCGCAGAUAUUUUUGAGGAACACCGGUGGCGAAGGCGGAUCUCUGGGCCGAUACUGACCCUGAGGAGCGAAAGCGUGGGGAGCGAACAGGAUUAGAUACCCUGGUAGUCCACGCCGUAAACGGUGGGCACUAGGUGUGGGCGACAUUCCACGUCGUCCGUGCCGCAGCUAACGCAUUAAGUGCCCCGCCUGGGGAGUACGGCCGCAAGGCUAAAACUCAAAGGAAUUGACGGGGGGCCCGCACAAGCGGCGGAGCAUGUGGCUUAUUUCGACGCAACGCGAAAGAACCUUACCAAGGCUUGACAUACACCGGAAAACCCUGGAGACAGGGUCCCCCUUGUGGUCGGUGUAC
rnacentral:rRNA from 1 species